GCAGGGCUGGACGAGAGCGGAGUGAGCCUUUUCAAAACACCUGAGGCCAUUGAUGAGAUGUGGGCAGGCCAGCAGCGACACCUGGAGUGCAUCCAGGAUCCACCAGACAUGAACAUGUAUAGGGUGGCGCGUACCACAACCAUUAACAAUGUGGACCUACCCUACUACAAAUGUCUGCGUGGAAGCAACAGCCUGGAAGGAUUCCACAAAGCUCUGCCGAACAUGAUUCCAGGUCCCCACUGUGCAGCACGGCCCUAUCAGGUUUACCUGAUCAGUGGCAUUGCACGGUGGAACUCUGACAGGAGCGGGGAUGCCGUGUUUGGUGGCAAAGGACGGCACCACAGGACCU